rnacentral:lncRNA from 1 species
CACACCAACUUCCAAGUGAUAGUCAGGAAACAGAGGCCUCUCAUGCUAUUUAACCCUCAUGAGUCAUCAACAGAUGUACUCUAUAGCCACACAGAUAUGUGACUACAAGAUAAAUUUAGAAGCCUUUCAUGGCAAUGAAAUAUUGGCAUCUCAGUACAACCGCUGUAUCUCGAUGGAUAAUUAUAGGAAGGCUCUUUUCUUACUUUUAAUCUGGAUGUCUCAGUCGCACUAUUUUUGUUGCAAAUUGAAACCAACACAAACUAAUUCAAGCCAAAAGGAAUGUGGGAGGGCUCACAGGAUUCAAGGCGCUGGAGUGGCAGGGCUAUACGAAUCAGUGUCGGCUUAGGGCUGAAGAAUCCACAACAUGCUUCCUUCUCUCCUGCUCUUCCCCGCAUGCCUGCUGCUUUCUCGUGGGUUGGCUCUCCCUCUUGCCCUGGCCACAGUAUGGGAACUGGAGGCUCUGAAACUUGCAGCCAUUCCUUUCAAAAGACUAGUCCAGUCUGAUGGGCAUUUUCUCUGCCUUGAGUCAAAUAUUCAAAGAACAAAACAAUUUGGCUUGUCUUGGGAAGAAUGCCAGUGCUAGGAUUACAGCAGAAUUUGUAUCAGUUCAGUCGCUUGCCUUCUGUGUCUGCAACCCGAAACAGAAUGGCGCCACAGCACAUCAUUCUUGCUAUCCAGGUGACAGUCAACUGCGCCAGGGAUCUGGAAGAACCAACCAUGCUUCUUCCAGAAAUAUGGAAGUAGGAGGUGAAGGGCUGGGUCAAUUUCCUUUUGGGGUGUAUCCUAGGCCAUGGAAGGUUGUUGCUGGGAUAGCCAAGGGAAGGGGUGGACAGCUACAAGAAACUCACCUCCAUCGACACAAUGGAUAAGAAGCGGCUGAACAGAGGAAGAAUUAUGUCACCUCCUGAAGGGACACUGGCUGGUUUCUAACCUUCCAGCUCCUGGUUUUCGACUCAUGUGGUUGGAACUGCAAACCUGCCAGGCAUGUCUCCUGUCUGCUGAUUGUAGAUGCCAUCUAGCUAAAACAACUUAAGUGGUUUAUGUUCACUGUAGCCAGAGGAUCAUUGUGAAUACUACUACUAAUAAAAAUAUGGUGAGAGUCCCUCCCA